rnacentral:misc_RNA from 1 species
GUAUUAUAUUAAUGGCCUUGCGGCACAGAGCACGUUCAUCAUUGUUAACAGCGUAUAAUAAUUCAAGGGAAUACAAGAAAAUCACCAAAAACGGCAAUAAAACUCGAAACUCCCUCAAAAAUGUGCACAGGUGUUUGGAUGAAGAUUGUUAGGAGCGAGCACAUACAGCCAAGCUGCCAGCAUCAACUCCGAUUACAAUUCAUUAAUGAUCCUUCCGCAGGUUCACCUACGGAAA